GUGUUGGAUUACAGGUAUGAGCCACCACGCCUGGCCUGUCGGCUCUUAUUUGCAUUUGAUUGACAAUCACAGCAUUCCUAUGCAGCAGGCAGGCUUCUCCAAGAAGGCCAGCAAGAGGAAUGGCAAGGGAGCAGGACCCUGCUUUACACCAGCUGCAUUUCUGAUCAGCCCAGGACGAUUCACAAGCAGCAGACAACAUGGCAGCCGCUAGCAAAACUUUGGGGUGAAAAGAAUGACCCAAAUUGGCCAAACGGGAGCUAUGAGGAACUGAAAUAAAACAGCGUGUCAUU